UUCCAUAUGUAUUAUAUUUCCAUAGUUAGAUUGUAUAGCUGUAAAUGAGUGAAAUCAGCCAACAAUCACUGUAUAUUGAUCUAUUUAUUGAAGAAGAAUACAACCAAAAGAGGGGCAGUGAGCCAUUCAAUCAAAUUCUAUCAUGGUAUCAGAGCCUUAGUUUUAGAAAUUUUGAAAUACUAGUCUUAAAAAUUGCUCUUGGUUUUCUUGGUGCUCUCUGUUGGAUCAAAGAUGCUGCAACAAAUCAGUGCGACGGUGCGACGGGUGUGGCAUUUUUUUCAUUUGGAGAUUUGGCGUGGAAAGGAAGCUCACGAUUUUGGUAAAAUUUCAGUUUUAUUUGGUGAAUUUUAUUUGGGUGUGAACUAUUCUCGUUACUUUGAAAUGGCGGGUAGCACUCCUGAAUUUUGUGUUAAGUUUACUGGAAAGAAUUAUACCACAUGGGAAUUUCA
rnacentral:lncRNA from 1 species